rnacentral:lncRNA from 1 species
UUCAAUUCCCAGGACAAACAAGAGCAGCUAAAACACGCACUGUUAGCUUCCAGAAGUAUGUGUUCCCACACUCACAUAAAAGUUCUGUCUCCUAUGCUGUCUGUUCUGUCUGCAACCACCUUCUGAUAAUUUGUUCUGGAUGGGCUUCAGGAAAUGAAGGAAAUUGGUGCACUGCAUCUGUUUUUUCAAUACAUGUAAUAAUUUAUGUCCAACUUUGGUAUUGUUCAAGAUACAGUGGUCCAAAAAGAUGUAGCACACCAGAAAGAAAAGAUCAUCGGGAAGAAUAGUUUUAGCACGUGGUUCUCACAGCCAUCCCAUUCAGCAGCAUCUCAUCCUGCAGGACCGUGUACAGAGACCAGAAUCCACACCCAACCACAAGCAGAACAAGAGGAAUGCAGGAGCUUUCUG